AAAGUACUCCUCCGUCCCAAAAUUCUUGUCUUAGAUUUGUCUAGAUACGGAUGUAUCAAGUCACAUUUUAGUAUUAGACACAUCCGUAUCUAGAAAAAUCUAAGACAAGAAAUUUGGGACAGAGGGAGUAGUUA
rnacentral:pre_miRNA from 1 species